UACACAUGCAAAAUUUCAUUUAGAUCAGAUAACUGGAAGUGGGUCAGGGGCAUUACUUAUUGAACGCCCCUCGUACAACUAUUAAUUUCUUUAUUGAAAUAGUCAAUGAGCAACCUUCUUGUAAAUGGCUCUUGCCGGAAAUACCAGACCAGUUAAGAUAAUAAGGCAUCGAUCAUAAGUAUGAAGCUAUUAACUUUAUUAAGUAUACGAUUAUGUAUACCACCGCUUUACUUUGUUUGCAAUUAAACCAUGGGCAUGAACUUGCAAUGGAGAUUACUAUUAUCAUUAGUAUCAUUUACAGAAAUACACGGUUUGAUAGCAAUUAUUUCUUUCAUCAUAAUCGGAUUUCCGCUACCUUAUGUUAAUCAAGAGUGUGUCCGAAAUGUAACUCUUAGCUGUCAUAUGUAAAGAAACUUCAGUCUCUGCGACUGGAUAAAAUUCGGAGAUUUACUUCAAGACGUUCUAAGUGACAUCCAUCACUCUUCUUCAGCGUUACCUGAAUAAACUUGUAAUAACAAAUCAAUGCUAGUAAAUCUAUCAAACUGCUGAACGUAUCAAAGUCUCUAACUCGUUAGGACCAUAUGCAAAUGUCACUCAUAUAUAAAUCAUGUUUAUAUAGUCCGUAAUACAGUGGAAGCCGCUUAAUUGCACACCCAAUUUGCCAGCGAAUUCCGUGCAAUUAUCCGGCGUGUGCGAUAAUGCGAAGUCACCCAGUUGGACCGCACCGCCACGGGAUUCGGGGAUUCCGUGCAAUUGACCGAAGUGUGCGUUUAUCCGACGUGCAAUUAACUGGCUUCCACUGUAUAAGAAACACCAUAUGAAGUGUUAUUGUCUAUCAUAAACUUAUCAUAGCUUUCAUAGAGCUUCUUAAUUGGGUGGACACAUACGGAAAUUAGAUUGCAUUGACAAUGACACGGAGUCUUUAUAUUAAGGUACACAAAUCAUACAUCUAUUUAGGUAAGAAAUGACUUCUUAUAUAUUUAGUCCUAUGUAAAGCUCAUUUAUCAUUAGAUUAUCCAUUAGCCACCGCCUCCAAACGUAAACAUAAGAUAGAUCUAUAGACUGGACAUUUUUACGUCAUAGCAUCUACAUGUAUAUGAACUCUUACAACUAGCUGCCAGGAAUGCAUUUGCAACUAAAAAUGAUACUAUAUUAACCCAUAUUUAUCACAAGCUGAUUCGAUAUACUACUGGUACGUUUCUAAGGUAUAGCACUGUUAUGUGACCUCUUUUUCCGCUACUUUGUUUAGAAUACGAUACUUUAUUUCAAUAAUAUCUACUACAGUAUGUAUUGUGUAAUGGACUGUUAUGUGUCGUUUUCUCGCUACAGCGGGUUGCAUUUCUUCAGAUUGUUAGGCAUUUCUACAAUUUUCUGCACUAUCGUUCACAAUAAAGGUGAAACAAAGUGGUAAACACUCUUCUUGGUCGCAUUGUUGACUUUUGAAUGACUUUCUUGAAUAAGAUUAGUUAAAGUAUUAUGUGACACCCGGAGGUUCAAUGUGUGUGCGUGUGUCUCUCUGUUUAAUUGCGUGUGUGUGUAUUGUUCAACAAUCUUCUGCGAUACCGUUUACAAUAAAGGCAAAAGAGUGGUAAACACUCUUCUAGGUCGCAUUGUUUUUUUAAUUACAGUGAAUGAUUAGUUUUAUGUAACACCCGGAGAUACAAUGUAUGUGUGCAUGUGCCACUCUCUCUCUCUUUCUCUGCAUGUAUGUGUUUCAUUGUGUCACGGUGUGAUGAUGUGUGUGUGUAUGUAAUUCGUCGUCCAGUUCUUCAUGUGGACAGGACUUGUACAAUAGUGACAUUCUGUCUUCUGGUGUAGUUCUGGUAUCACGGACUUCUAUAAAAUCACACUACUGCAAUGCUUGCACAGCUCUGUGGCCAACGGAAAUCUAUAAGGGCAUCGCCCUAUUUAUUUGCAAAAUCAUGCCAGAAGGCUAAUUUCAUGUACAGUCUCGAAAGAUAACAGUAGAGAACCUUGGAGUAGAAAAGACAUAAGAGUGAUACCUUGGAUGACCAAGUGAUGUUCAGAACUCUACGCUUUGAUAUGAACAUGUAAUCAAACCACAAAAACAACAAGUUAGAGAAAAGGUGGGACUAACACUGCCAUCGAUGUAAACACACAAGCUUCGAAAUCUGCAUACCGAAGCAUUGUUCCUUCAAUAGCAAUGGAAAUAUUCUCCAAGCAGAGGUUCCUUGCGUAGACAUAAUAAAAGUCGGAAAAAGUACACGGGCGCACCUCUUACUCUCCAAGCAGAAGUUGAGUUGCGCUACAGAGGAGCGCCAGUGUAAUUUUUCUGAUUACAUAUACUGCUAUAUCUACGCUACUCAACCUCUGCUCGGGAAGUAAAAGUGGCCGGUCGGCCCGCCUUACGCAAGCUACAAUAUUAAACCUUAUGCAAGCACAGCCUUGCGGUUCUCAGUCGUAGUGCAGAGCGCCUAUUGCGAUAAAGUUAAAGUUAUGCAAUGUAGA